rnacentral:lncRNA from 1 species
GAUGAUCCAACUUGCUUGCAUAAGGCUCAAAACAACCAGUGGGUGAUCUAAUAGUGAGAAAUGAUAUUCAUAAAAUUAUAGACAUGUUUUGUUAUCAUAUAGCGAUUAUAAUUCUUAACAAAGAUAGAUGGGUGCACCAAAAUAGAUCUCAAAGCAAUCAGUAAGUGAUCCAAUAGUGAGGAAUGACAUUUAUAGAAUUAUAAACAUGUUUUAUUACCAUAUGAUGACAACAUGAUCAUAAUUUCUAAGAUGGAUGGCUGGAUCAUAUUUUAACCAAUUGGGAUCAAGUCCAUUGGAUGGAGG